CGAAAAAUAGAGAUGGCAAGAUGUCGGCAUAGCUGAAAGCAUUUGAAUAGCGGCUAUGUUGCAUCAAGCCAGCUUAUAUU
rnacentral:pre_miRNA from 1 species